UACGUAGGGGGCAAGCGUUGUCCGGAUUUAUUGGGCGUAAAGAGCGUGUAGGCGGCCAUACAGGUCCGUUGUGAAAACUGGAGGCUUAACCUCCAGACGUCGAUGGAAACCGUAUGGCUAGAGUCCGGAAGAGGAGAGUGGAAUUCCUGGUGUAGCGGUGAAAUGCGCAGAUAUCAGGAAGAACACCCGUGGCGAAGGCGGCUCUCUGGGACGGUACUGACGCUGAGACGCGGAAGCGUGGGGAGCGAACAGG
rnacentral:rRNA from 1 species